AAUGUUAGAAACUAGAGGCUCUAAAGAGCCUGUGUCGCUCACCUUGGUCUAUGUGACUAUUAAACAAAAGAAGCAGAUGGAUUCAUGACAAAAUUGUAUUUUGGUGAUGUUGGUGUGUUUGUACAUCUUACUUUACUGAACAUCCUUGCUGCUGACAAUUAUCUCUAUCUAUAAUGAACUUGGCCCAGUAGUUUCAGUGGAAAAUGUUAGUAAAAAUUUACAAAUUUUAUAAAAAUUGUUGAAAAUUGACUAUAAAGGACAAUAACUCCUUAGGGGGUCAAUUGACCAUUUCGGUCAUGUUGACUUAUUUGUAAAUCUUACUUUGCUGAACAUUAUUGCUGUUUACAGUUUAUCUCUAUCUAUAAUAAUAUUCAAGACAAUAACCAAAAACAUCAAAAUUUCCUUAAAAUUACAAUUCAGGGGCAGCAACCCAACAACGGGUUGUCCGAUUCAUCUGAAAAUUUCGGGGCAGAUAGAUCUUGACCUGAUAAACAAUUUAACCCCAUGUCAGAUUUGCUCUAAACGCUUUGGUUUUUGAGUUAUAAGCCAAAAACUGCAUUUUACCCCUAUGUUCUAUUUUUAGCCAUGGCGGCCAUCUUGGUUGGAUGGCCGGGUCAUCGAACACAUUUUUUAAACUAGAUACCCCAAAGAUGAUUGUAGAUAAGUUUGGAUUAAUUUGGCCAAGUAGUUUCAGAGGAGAAGAAGAUUUUUGUAAAAGAUUACUAAGAUUUACGAAAAAUGGUUAAAAAUUGACUAUAAAGGGCAAUAACUCCUAAAGGGGUCAACUGACCAUUUCGGUCAUGUUGACU
rnacentral:lncRNA from 1 species